rnacentral:lncRNA from 1 species
CACAAACAUGAUAGAAUCAAGUACUAUUUAGCUAAUACACUUUUCAUGCUUAGGAACCAAUAUUAAUUACCACAGGCCAAGGCUUUACAACUCGAAUACUAUGGAAAUGAUGGUAGGAAAAUCAGGAGGAUUGAGGACAAUAUAUGCUCUAGAAUUGUUGUAACUGUCAUCGGAAGCCUGUACCAGAAUCAGAUAUUGACUGUUAGAACUCAGUUUGGGUAGAAGUAAAACAAAAAAAGUAACUAUGCAAUUAAUACAUGGUUAGUCCAGAACAUGAAUUUGAAUUGUGUGGAUGCAUAUUAUGACCUGCAAUAGAAAGACAGAGAUCAUCCACCACAGAUAUACAUCCAUUCAUCAGGAUAAAUUGUUUGUUUUUUCUUCGAAGAGAAACAGUACCAUAUACAUUCACCUGGAUUUAUUUGUGACUCAAUACAUGACAUGGAUUAGCACAAAGAAACUUGGUCAGCGGAAAUUCGUUUUGGCUCAUGCCGAUGGCAGUUUGGUCUAGAAUUCUAGAUGGAGCCCUCGUGUCCUCAUCCACGAAGAUUGGCCGCCUGAACCCAUGAAGAGGCUCGGGUAUUCAGAACUAAAUUGGGCAGCUACACAGGUCAAACAAGAUGCUGACAAGAUUACUUACCCAUCAAUCGGAUAGACUUGGAAUCCAUCCCCGGUUCUUGCGGUCGUGGAGGCAGCGUCACAGGGCGGCGCGGGAGGUCAAAUCUCACCAAUAGCACGACAGAACAGAUCCUGAGGAAUCCCUAUCAAUCACUGGUACUGGUAGUGUGGUAUGUGUUCUUGCCGCAGUCAACAAGCCCUCCCCGUGGUGGAGAGCAGGAGACCUUGCCGGAGCUGGGCGAGGAAGAGAGAUGGGCAGCAGGGCCGUGCGGAGCAGGUGGCAAGGGGCGGCAAGGAGGGAAGCAAGAUGUGGGCGUCACCGCUGUGCGGCGGCCGUCCAGGGAGGGUGCAGAUGGAU